UUGGAGGGCAAGUCUGGUGCCAGCAGCCGCGGUAAUUCCAGCUCCAAUAGCGUAUAUUAAAGUUGUUGCAGUUAAAAAGCUCGUAGUUGAAUUUCGGGAUCAGAUUGUCGGUCGUGCCUCGGUACGCACUGGCAUUAUUGGUUCCUACCUUCUGAAGAACCGCGACGUCAUUAAUUUGGUGUCGUGGGGAAUCAGGACUGUUACUUUGAAAAAAUUAGAGUGUUUAAAACAGGCGCACGCUUGAAUACAUUAGCAUGAAAUAAUGAAAUAGGACGUUUGAUUCUAUUUUGUUGGUUUCUAGGAUCGACGUAAUGAUUAAUAGGGAUAGUUGGGGGCAUUAGUAUUCAAUUGUCAGAGGUGAAAUUCUUGGAUUUAUUGAAGACUAACUACUGCGAAAGCAUUUGCCGAGGAUGUUUACAUUAAUCAAGAACGAAAGUUAGGGGAUCGAAGACGAUCAGAUACCGUCGUAGUCUUAACCAUAAACUAUGCCGACUAGGGAUCGGAUGAUGUUGAUUUUUUAAUGACUCAUUCGGCGCCUUACGGGAAACCAAAGUGUUUGGGUUC
rnacentral:rRNA from 1 species